rnacentral:rRNA from 1 species
CCCUUAGAUGUACUGGGCUGCACGCGCGCUACACUGAUGUGUCCAGUAAGCACCUAACCUCUUCCGAAAGGAACGGGUAACCUUUGCAAAGCACAUCGUGAUGGGGAUAGAUUAUUGCAAUUAUUAGUCUUGAACGAGGAAUUCCUAGUAAGCACAAGUCAUCAGCUUGUGUUGAUUACGUCCCUGCCCUUUGUACACACCGCCCGUCGCUCCUACCGAUUGAAUGUUCCGGUGAGCUCUUCGGACUGCGCGGUCUGCAGUUUCUGCGUUCCGUGCGGAAAGUUGCGCAAACCUUAACAUUUAGAGGAAGGAGAAGUCGUAACA